UCAUAGAGAGAGCCUGCAGCCAUGUACACUACCAAGAGGUGCAUUGCCACGGCCAUCGUGGUGGUGCUCUGGCUCCAGGCCGCCGUGGACGCCCGCCGCCUCUCCCCCGGCGGCGUGAUCCGGCUUCCGAGCGAUGGCAGAGGUGAUUCUAUUGAUCAAGUCGGGUCGUCAAAGGUGAUCAGCAUAGAGGAUCCAUUCUAUACUUGCCCAGAUGGCAAGGUGCUGAAAUGCAAAGUCAUUGCGUUCCAAUGGUAUUUGCGAUUGUGUGCGUGAAAAAGGUGUUGGCCCCGACGACAGCUCCCCGGAGAUGACGUCGCCCAAGAAGUCGGACGACAAUGGUGAUUCAGUUAAUGAAACAUAUGCCACUAUUGUUAUUGUGGUCCUACCGAUCAAGUCCAAGUGACAAAGGGGCUCAACGAUCUAGGGGAGCCGUGGUGGCCGUGUCCGGACGGCACAGUACAGAAAUGUGAACUCGUUGCAUUCAAAAUAUACUGCAAGUGCGUGCCUAAAGACGGUGCAGGUCUCACCGAUCGAUCCAUGUCGGCGCCGGCGCACUCGGCGAGGAAGAAGGACGGUGACGAUGUCGCCGUGGGC